CAGAAUCAUAACUUGUUUUAAAAUGAAUCCUUUUUCAUUUAUUUUCUGAAGUGACUUUACUUUUCUUAUGGUGAUGAAUCCCUACUGAACUCUUUUCUUAUUAUCCACUGAGGAUUUUUUGUGGGUUGCUUUAAAUUUUUAUCAACCAAUAAAGCAAUGUCAUUAAUGCAUUCAUGAAGCAACUGACAUGGUCAUGGAAGUAUGUUAUUGAGAUGUAACAAGCUAAGAUGGUCAGAAGCACAGAACUAAACCAGAAAAAUUCAUGUUAUAUAUGUUUUACACUUCACAGGAUCAAAUAUUGUUCCAAAUCCAUACUGAUGAUACUUGUCGAAGUUUCAAAAUUCCACAGUGCACUGAAUCCACAUCACAGAACCAUAGUUAAUCACCAA
rnacentral:lncRNA from 1 species